UGAUUGCCGUUAUGGUCUGUUCAGAUUGUCU
rnacentral:piRNA from 1 species